CCGACGGUGAGGGAUGAAAGCUGGGGGAGCAAACCGGAUUAGAUACCCGGGUAGUCCCAGCUGUAAACGAUGCGCGUUAGGUGUGUCAGUGACCACGUGUCACUGAUGUGCCGAAGGGAAACCGUGAAACGCGCCGCCUGGGGAGUACGGUCGCAAGGCUGAAACUUAAAGGAAUUGGCGGGGGAGCACCACAACGGGUGGAGCCUGCUGUUUAAUCGGACUCAACGCCGGAAAUCUCACCGGAUAA
rnacentral:rRNA from 1 species